GAUGAACGCUGGCGGCGUGCCUAAUACAUGCAAGUCGAGCGAACAGACGAGGAGCUUGCUCCUCUGACGUUAGCGGCGGACGGGUGAGUAACACGUGGAUAACCUACCUAUAAGACUGGGAUAACUUCGGGAAACCGGAGCUAAUACCGGAUAAUAUAUUGAACCGCAUGGUUCAAUAGUGAAAGACGGUUUUGCUGUCACUUAUAGAUGGAUCCGCGCCGCAUUAGCUAGUUGGUAAGGUAACGGCUUACCAAGGCGACGAUGCGUAGCCGACCUGAGAGGGUGAUCGGCCACACUGGAACUGAGACACGGUCCAGACUCCUACUGGAGGCAGCAGUAGGGAAUCUUCCACAAUGGGCGAAAGCCUGACGGAGCAACGCCGCGUGAGUGAUGAAGGUCUUCGGAUCGUAAAACUCUGUUAUUAGGGAAGAACAAAUGUGUAAGUAACUAUGCACGUCUUGACGGUACCUAAUCAGAAAACCACGGCUAACUACGUG
rnacentral:rRNA from 1 species